AUUGAACGCUGGCGGCAGGCCUAACACAUGCAAGUCGAGCGGCAGCGGGAAAGUAGCUUGCUACUUUUGCCGGCGAGCGGCGGACGGGUGAGUAAUGCCUGGGGAUCUGCCCAGUCGAGGGGGAUAACUACUGGAAACGGUAGCUAAUACCGCGUACGCCCUACGGGGGAAAGCAGGGGACCUUCGGGCCUUGCGCGAUUGGAUGAACCCAGGUGGGAUUAGCUAGUUGGUGAGGUAACGGCUCACCAAGGCGACGAUCCCUAGCUGGUCUGAGAGGAUGAUCAGCCACACUGGAACUGAGACACGGUCCAGACUCCUACGGGAGGCAGCAGUGGGGAAUAUUGCACAAUGGGGGAAACCCUGAUGCAGCCAUGCCGCGUGUGUGAAGAAGG
rnacentral:rRNA from 1 species